rnacentral:rRNA from 1 species
GACGAACGCUGGCGGCGUGCUUAACACAUGCAAGUCGAACGGUGACGAGGAGCUUGCUCCUCUGAUCAGUGGCGAACGGGUGAGUAACACGUGAGCAACCUGCCCCAGACUCUGGGAUAACAGUUGGAAACAGCUGCUAAUACCGGAUACGAGACGGAGAGGCAUCUCUACCGUCUGGAAAGUUUUUCGGUCUGGGAUGGACUCGCGGCCUAUCAGCUAGUUGGUGAGGUAAUGGCUCACCAAGGCGACGACGGGUAGCCGGCCUGAGAGGGCGACCGGCCACACUGGGACUGAGACACGGCCCAGACUCCUACGGGAGGCAGCAGUGGGGAAUAUUGCACAAUGGGCGAAAGCCUGAUGCAGCGACGCCGCGUGAGGGAUGAAGGCCUUCGGUUGUAACCUCUUCAGCAGGAAGAAGCGAAAGUGACGGUACCUGCAGAAGAAGACACCGGCUAACUACGUGCCAGCAGCCGCGGUAAACGU